rfam:Myotis davidii contig146168, whole genome shotgun sequence.
AUACUUUUGAAAACUUGGCAGCACAUAUCCUAAAAUUGGAACGAUACAGAGAAGAUUAGCUUGGCCCCUGCGCAAGGAUGAUGGGCAAAGUCAUAAAUUUUCCCUAGUUUUG